rnacentral:lncRNA from 1 species
GGAGCUGGACUGCGAAGACCCUGCUUUUCUUACUCCCAGCUCCAACCCUCUUGCCUCAAAGCUGUGCACCGUCCUCACUGACGAGGCCUUUGAGUUUUACUGUAGCCAGUGCCACAAACAGAUCAAUCGCCUUGAAGAUCUUUCUGCCCGCCUGACUGACCUUGAGAUGAAUAGCCCAGCCAAGCGGCUCUCCAGCAGGAAGGUGGCAAGGUAAGAAGUCUAUAUUUCCCAGACAAUAGUCUAGGCCUCUGGAACAGUUUCCUUCUCUGCUUUUGACUUUAAAUCCCUGGGCGUCCCCCAGGAGUCCUGUUGCUAGUGGAUGGGUGGAGGAGGCUCUGCACUGGCCCAGAGGCAGAGGAAGGCUUGCGCCUGCCCUUGCACCACCCACAGAGCUGCAGCACCCAUAGCAGCUGGACCUGAGCCUGAGCACUGUCUGGAGUCUGGGCACAGUGUCUGAGACCACACCAUAGGCUGUGUGAGUGUGAGUGGGUGUGGGUGUGCAUGCAUGCGUGCGUGCGCAAGUGUGUGCGCAGGCAUGAGUGUGCACACAAGUGUGAGUGUAUGAAUGCUUGUGCCCACACAUGCUGCCCUGCAUCCCUUCACUGCCUAUCACCCCCGCCCCCACCUCCCUUCUACACUACGGUUUAAGACGUUGCCUCGUAUUGUACAUUUUGGGGAAAGCCUUGUGUGUAAAUCAGUGUAAACUUGGAGGAGAGAUUUUUCUAUCAUGUAGAGUAGGUAUUUUUUAUAGAUUGAAGGUUGAUCAAUUUUUUUAAUACUUUCCAGAGAGAAAACUAUCUGUGUAUACAUAUGAAAUAUAUAUAUAUAUAUAUGUAUAAUAUAUC